GUUUUUCUCCUGGUGUUCACUGUAGGCCUGUAUGUUCCAUUUAUUUAAGUUCAUAAGGCACGCGGUGAAUGCCAAGAGCGAACGA
rnacentral:pre_miRNA from 1 species